UGGGGGGGGGGGCACCCAUUGGGGGGCGCCCAUGGGGGGAACCAGCCUUGGAUUUGGGGUUCUAGAAUGGGAUUUUUGGGAUUUCCUCCAUGGGUUUUGGGUUCUAGAGCGUGGGUUUUGGGGUCCAGGGCACACUUUUUGGGACCCCCUCCCAUGGAAUUUGGGUUCCAGAUGAUGAGUUUUGGGAUCUCCCCCGUGGAUUUUGGGGUUCUAGAAUGUGACUUUUGGGUUCCUGGGUGCGCUUUUGGGGACUCCCCCGAUGGAGUUUGGGUUCCAGGAUGUGACUUUUGGGAUCUCCCCCACGGAUUUUGGGUUCUAAAAAACCGUGAGUUUUGGGGUCCAGGAUGGGAGUUCUCGGUUCUAGAACGUGACUUUUGGGUUCUAUAACGUGAUUUUUUGGGUUCCAGAGCAUGACUUUUAGGAUCUCCUCCUUAGAUUUUGGGUGUUCUAGAAUGAAUUUGGGGUUCCUGGACAUGAUUUUUUGGGUUCCCCCUCUGGACUUUGGGUUCCAUGGAUUUUUUGGGUCCCACUUUUGGAUUUGGGGUUCUUUUGGGUUCUAGAACAUGACUUUUAGGAUCUUUCCUCUGGGAUUUCGGGUUCCCCCUUGGGAUUUUGGGUUGCCCUUUGGGAUUUUGGGUUUUGCCCCAGGAAUUUCAGGACCCCCUGGGAAUUGGUGUCCCCCCCUGGAUUUUGGGGUUCCCCAUGGGGAUUUUGGGUUCUAGAACACAACUUUUGGGUUCUAGAACACGACUUUUAGGAUCUUUGCUCUGGAAUUUUGUGUUCCCCUUUGAGAUUUCGGGUUCUGCCUUGGGCAUUUCAGGUCCCCCCCUGGCUUCUGGUGUCCCCCCCAGAUUUUGGGGGGUCCCCCUGGGGAUUUUGGGUUCUAGAACACGACUUUUAGGAUCUUUGCUCUGGAAUUUUGUGUUCCCCUUUGAGAUUUCGGGUUCUGCCUUGGGCAUUUCAGGUCCCCCCCUGGCUUCUGGUGUCCCCCCCAGAUUUUGGGGGGUCCCCCUGGGGAUUUUGGGUUCUAGAACACGACUUUUAGGAUCUUUGCUCUGGAAUUUUGUGUUCCCCUUUGAGAUUUCGGGUUCUGCCUUGGGCAUUUCAGGUCCCCCCCUGGCUUCUGGUGUCCCCCCCAGAUUUUGGGGGGUCCCCCUGGGGAUUUUGGGUUCUAGAACACGACUUUUAGGAUCUUUGCUCUGGAAUUUUGGUCCCCCUGGGGAUUUUUCGGGUUCUGCCUUGGGCAUUUCAGGUCCCCCCCUGGCUUCUGGUGUCCCCCCCAGAUUUUGGGGGUUCCCUCCCUGGAUUUUGGGGUUCCCCCUGGGGAUUUUGGGUUCUAGAACACGACUUUUAGCAUCUUCCCCUUGGGAUUUCGUGUUCCCCUUUGAGAUUUCGGGUUCUGCCUUGGGCAUUUCAGGUCCCCCCCUGGCUU
rnacentral:lncRNA from 1 species